AUGUCACACGUGUGCACACAGGGAGCUGGCAGAGGGCCACCUGCACUCAAGCUGCCAUUAACCACGAACCAGCACCUCCCCCAGCACGGGUCUCCUCAACUGGGGAAGAGAUCUCCAGCUGGGAAUAGCUGCUUGACAGAUGAGGCUGUUCUGAGUGUGUGUGUGCAUGUGUGUAUCCGUCUCUGGAGAGCUUUGAUCCACACACAGGGGCAUGUGUCCCCACAGGUCUGGUGUGCCCUCUUGGGGGUGUGCCUGUUUGUGUGUGCAGGACUGUGUGUCCAGCAGGCCCAUGCGCAUGUGUACGCGCCUGUGCUCAUACACACGACACUCCCCCCUCCACCCCCGCCCUGCCUGUCAGCAGCGCUGAUGACAUUGGCGCAGAGGAAAGUGAUGACAAAUGCCCGUUAUCAGCGAACGAGGCCGAUGACAAAUGGGCGGGCGCCCGAGCAGCCCCAUUACGCUGUAAUAACAGAAGAUGGAUGGCUUGGCGCACCCCCACCCCCACCCCUACCCCNCCCACCCCUACCCCCUGCGCGGGUAACGGGAGCCGAUCCGGCUCCGCCCGCCCUGGAGGGAGCCGAGCUGCCCACCCGGCCGCCAAUCACGACGGGGCCGAGACGCCAGGGCCCAGGAGCCAGGAGCCCACGCGGCCGCCCGCGGUGGAGGAACAAAGCGGCGAGCUCAGCGGGAGCGUUGGGCGCACUGGGCGGCAGGCCUGCCCGCGGCCAGGACACGCAGCUGUGCACACACAUGGCCCGCACACGCGCCAGCCGCCUGUGUCCUUGCACGGUGCACCUGCAGCUCCUGUCCAGGCAUAACCCCCACCUCACAGGACCACAGACACAUGUUUUUCUGCAUCUGCCACCCAGAUCUAGGUACACAUCCACUAACAUAAACCCAUGCAACACGGAGCAUGCAUACCCAUGCAUCUGUGAUCAGUACACAUGCCUACAGAAACAACCCUUAAGUCUGUGCACACAUACGAUCCCAAUAUCCCUGUGCAUGCAUGGAUAUGGAAGUAUAUAUACACAUAAGCAGAAAUGCUUAUUUGUGGACACAGUCCUGCACACACAAUUCAGGGCUUACAAACACAUACAAACUGUAUCAACAAAUAUUAACUGA
rnacentral:lncRNA from 1 species